AGAACCUCAUAUUCCUCACGUCUCUUUUCUCUCUGCUUGCUCACUCUAUCUCACUCCUAUUUUCUUUUUCUCUCACCAAUUUUCAUGGGUCCUCCACAGAAGACAUCAUUCUCAAAAGUUGCUUCAUCUUCUACUGAUGAUUCUUGGUCCAAUAUUACUAAGAGUGUUGAUGAAAAAGGGAUCUACUUCAAUCGAGAAGAUGGUGUUGAUGAUGCAUAUGUUGCAAGGGUGAUUCAAUACUACCAAUGGGACCUAUUUUCUCAACCUACAGAAGUAUUUUAUCUAGAUUUGGAAGAAGAAAUUAUGAAAAAGAGGGAAAAAAGGCUAAAAGACAAAAUAAUGAAGCAAAGCCAUAGUUGCACACAUCAUCUUCAUAUUCGCAAAUGUGGAAUAUACAUAUGGGCUUAUGGAAAGAGAUAAUUAGAGAUGAAAAGGAGCAUAGAUGCAUGUGUGGAAUCUAUAUUUGCAAAGGUUGCAUUCGCACACAUGGAACCUACAUUUGCAAGUCUAACCCAUGAAGUCAAGAAUGGAAGCAAAAGAGCUAUAGAUGCAUAUGUGGAAUCUAUAUACGCAAAGGACACAUAUGCAUACAUGGAACCUACAUUUGCAAGUCUAACUCAUGAAGUCAAGAAUGGAAGUAAAAGAUCUAUAGAUGCAUAUGUGGAAUCUAUAUACGCAAAUAUCACAUUUGCAUACAUGGAACCUACAUUUGCAAGUCUAACUCAUGAAGUCAAGAAGGGAAGCAAAAGAGUCAUAGAUGCAUGUAUGGAAUCUAUAUUUGCAAAGAUCACAUUUGCAUACAUGGAACCUAUAUUUUCAAGUCUAACUCAUGAAGUCAAGAGUGAAGCCCAUAGUUGCAUAUAUGGAAUCUACGUACACAAAGGUCACUUCGCAUACAUGGAUUUCACAUUCGCAAAAGUGGAAAAUGACAAAACUACUCAUCUUUUCCUAUAAAUAGCAAGCUCUCUUUGUAUAAGAAGAUCCAAUCUUUUGCAAGACAAGAACUAGUCUUGGCCUUCUUUCUUUAUAGUAAAAAUAUGUUCUAGUCUUUUAAAUA